rnacentral:misc_RNA from 1 species
GAUGAAGAACGUAGCGAAAUGCGAUAAGUAAUGUGAAUUGCAGAAUUCAGUGAAUCGUCGAAUCUUUGAACGCACAUUGCGCCCGUCAGUAUUCUGGCGGGCAUGCCUGUUCGAGCGUCAUUACGCCCCUCAAGUCCCCUGUGGACUUGGUGUUGGGGAUCGGCGAGGCUGGUUUUCCAGCACAGCCGUCCCUUAAAUUAAUUGGCGGUCUCGCCGUGGCCCUCCUCUGCGCAGUAGUAAAACACUCGCAACAGGAGCCCGGCGCGGUCCACUGCCGUAAAACCCCCCAACUUUUUAUAGUUGACCUCGAAUCAGGUAGGACUACCCGCUGAACUUAAGCAUAUCAAUAAGCGGAGGA